CGGAUUGUAAACCACUGUUGUAAGGGAAGAACGUUAUUAGUAGGAAAAUUCGGUCUAAUUAAGUGACGGUACCUUACCAGAAAGGGACGGCUAACUACGUGCCAGCAGCCGCGGUAAUACGUAGGUCCCGAGCGUUAUCCGGAAUUAUUGGGCGUAAAGGGCACGUAGGCGGACAAAUAAGUUUGAUGUCAAAUAUGAUGGCUCAACCAUCAAGAGGCGUUGAAAACUGUUUAUCUAGAAUCUCGGAGAGGUAAGUGGAAUUCCAUGUGUAGCGGUGGAAUGCGUAGAUAUAUGGAGGAACACCAAUGGCGAAGGCAGCUUACUGGACGAAGAUUGACGCUGAGGUGCGAAAGCGUGGGUAGCAAACAGGAUUAGAUACCCUGGUAG
rnacentral:rRNA from 1 species